UAGGAUCUGAAAGAAAAGGAGAAAUUGGAGACUAGGGAAUGGUUAAACACUGUGGAGAGCUGGAGUCCGGUUGAUAGUUUCGAGGUUGAUAUUGAGGGUCUCUCAGUAAAAAAAAGGGAAAGGAAAGACCUCCAAGACUGACACAUUUGGAGACAUCAAUUGUUCGGCAUAAAGCUCAUAUAAGGAAGUUAGAGUUGAUACUGAUACUUCUUGACAAUGAUGAAUGGAGUCCAUAGGAUGUUAAUGAUGUGAGAGAUUUCAUAGAAUACUACGUGGAACACAAUCAGGAUGAUUUUGAAGAAUUCAGCGAAGUUGAUGACCUUUACAGCUCUUUAGACUUAGACAAGGUGGAAUUGCUUGAAUACCUGGUUACAAUACCUCCUGAUGUUGUUAAGGGUGUCGGUACCGCAAGUGCAGUAUUAAGUUUGAAGCCUUCUGUAACAUCUUCACCAACUCAAGUAUCGGUAUGUCUUCUUUCAAAUGUAAUAUGAGUCAGAAUAGUAUGGAAAUAGACUCAUUUGUCAGUGUCUU